rnacentral:rRNA from 1 species
GAUGAACGCUAGCGGGAGGCCUAACACAUGCAAGCCGAGCGGUAUUGUUUCUUCGGAAAUGAGAGAGCGGCGUACGGGUGCGUAACACGUGUGCAACCUGCCUUUAUCUGGGGGAUAGCCUUUCGAAAGGAAGAUUAAUACUCCAUAAUAUAUUGAACGGCAUCGUUUAAUAUUGAAAGCUCCGGCGGAUAGAGAUGGGCACGCGCAAGAUUAGCUAGUUGGUGAGGUAACGGCUCACCAAGGCGAUGAUCUUUAGGGGGCCUGAGAGGGUGAUCCCCCACACUGGUACUGAGACACGGACCAGACGCCUACGGGAGGCAGCAGUGAGGAAUAUUGGUCAAUGGGUGCAAGCCUGAACCAGCCAUCCCGCGUGAAGGACGACUGCCCUAUGGGUUGUAAACUUCUUUUGUAUAGGGAUAAACCUACCCUCGAGAGGGUAGCUGAAGGUACUAUACGAAUAAGCACCGGCUAACUCCGUGCCAGCCGCCGCAGUAAUAC